UACGGGGGGAGCAAGCGUUGUUCGGAUUUACUGGGCGUAAAGGGCGCGUAGGCGGCCACCGCAAGUCAGUUGUGAAAUCUCUGGGCUUAACCCAGAACGGUCAGCUGAUACUGCGGGGCUAGAGUGCAGAAGGGGCAACUGGAAUUCUCGGUGUAGCGGUGAAAUGCGUAGAUAUGACAUAGAACACCGAUAGCGAAGGCAGCUUGCUACACAAUAAUUGACACUGAGGCACGAAAGCGUGGGGAUCAAACAGG
rnacentral:rRNA from 1 species